AUAAUUGUCAGCUAAGUGGCGCACGGGUGAGUAAUGUAUAGAUAACCUGCCCUUAAGAAAGGAAUAACAGUUGGAAACGACUGCUAAUGCCCUAUAUGCCUUUAAUACAUAAGUAUGCAAGGGAAACGCUUUAGUGCUUAAGGAUGGGUCUGUAUGGUAUCAGCUUGUUGGUGAGGUAAUGGCUCACCAAGGCUAUGACGCCUAACUGGUUUGAGAGGAUGAUCAGUCACACUGGAACUGAGACACGGUCCAGACUCCUACGGGAGGCAGCAGUGGGGAAUAUUACACAAUGGACGAAAGUCUGAUGCAGCAACGCCGCGUGGAGGAUGACACAUUUCGGUGCGUAAACUCCUUUUAUAUAGGAAGAUAAUGACGGUACUAUAUGAAUAAGCACCGGCUAACUCCGUGCCAGCAGCCGCGGUAAUACGGAGGGUGCAAGCGUUACUCGGAAUCACUGGGCGUAAAGAGCGUGUAGGCGGGUAUAUAAGUCAGAAGUGAAAUCCAAUAGCUCAACUAUUGAACUGCUUUUGAAACUGUAUACCUAGAAUGUGGGAGAGGUAGAUGGAAUUUCUGGUGUAGGGGUAAAAUCCGUAGAGAUCAGAAGGAAUACCGAUUGCGAAGGCGAUCUACUGGAACAUUAUUGACGCUGAGACGCGAAAGCGUGGGGAGCAAACAGGAUUAGAUACCCUGGUAGUCCACGCCCUAAACGAUGUACACUAGUUGUUGUGAGGCUCGACCUUGCAGUAAUGCAGUUAACACAUUAAGUGUACCGCCUGGGGAGUACGGUCGCAAGAUUAAAA
rnacentral:rRNA from 1 species